rnacentral:rRNA from 1 species
UACAGAGGUCUCAAGCGUUGUUCGGAUUCAUUGGGCGUAAAGGGUGCGUAGGUGGCGCGCUAAGUCGGGUGUGAAAUUUCGGAGCUUAACUCCGAAACUGCAUUCGAUACUGGCGUGCUUGAGGACUGGAGAGGAGACUGGAAUUCAUGGUGUAGCAGUGAAAUGCGUAGAGAUCAUGAGGAAGACCAGUGGCGAAGGCGGGUCUCUGGACAGUUCCUGACGCUGAGGAGCGAAAGCGUGGGGAGCGAACAGG